AACGCGAAGAACCUUACCUACCCUUGACAUCCUACGAAGACUGCAGAGAUGCGGUUGUGCCGAAAGGAACGUAGAGACAGGUGCUGCAUGGCUGUCGUCAGCUCGUGUUGUGAGAUGUUGGGUUAAGUCCCGUAACGAGCGCAACCCUCGUUCUAUGUUGCCAGCGGGUAAUGCCGGGGACUCAUAGGAGACUGCCGGGGUCAACUCGGAGGAAGGUGGGGAUGACGUCAAGUCCUCAUGCCCCUUAUAUCUUGGGCUGCAAACAUGCUACAAUGGACGGUACAAAGCGUCGCUAACCCGCGAGGGGGAGCCAAUCGCAAAAAACCGUUCUCAGUUCGGAUUGCAGGCUGCAACUCGCCUGCAUGAAGCUGGAAUCGCUAGUAAUGGCAGAUCAGCACGCUGCCGUGAAUACGUUCCCGGGCCUUGUACACACCGAGUAUA
rnacentral:rRNA from 1 species